AAGACUAUACUUUCAGGGAUCAUUUCUAUAGUUUGUUAUUAAAGAAGUUUUUCUAAACAUGUAGAGUACCCAUCUUAAACAUCUCAAAUCUUGU
rnacentral:snoRNA from 1 species